rnacentral:rRNA from 1 species
AGAGUUUGAUCAUGGCUCAGGAUGAACGCUGGCGGCGUGCCUAAUACAUGCAAGUCGAGCGGUAAGGCCCCUUCGGGGGUACACGAGCGGCGGACGGCUGAGUAACGCGUAGGAAUGUACCCCAAAGUGAGGGAUAAGCACCAGAAAUGGUGUCUAAUACCGCAUGUGAUCCACGGAUUAAAGCUUUAUGCGCUUUGGGAACAGCCUGCGUUCGAUUAGCUAGUUGGUAGUGUAAUAGACUACCAAGGCGAUGAUCGAUAGCUGGUCUGAGAGGAUGAUCAGCCAGACUGGGACUGAGACACGGCCCAGACUCCUACGGGAGGCAGCAGUAGGGAAUUUUCCACAAUGGGGGCAACCCUGAUGGAGCAACGCCGCGUGCAGGAUGAAUGCCUUCGGGUUGUAAACUGCUUUUAUUAGUGACGAUUAUGACGGUAACUAAUGAAUAAGGACCUGCUAACUACGUGCCAGCAGCCGCGGUCAUACGUAGGGUCCAAGCGUUAUCCGGAAUUACUGGGCGUAAAGAGUUGCGUAGGUGGCAUAGUAAGUAGAUAGUGAAAGCGUGUGGCUCAACCAUACAUCCAUUAUCUAAACUGCUAAGCUUGAGGAUGAGAGAGGUAGAUGGAAUUCCUAAUGUAGGGGUAAUAUCCGUAGAUAUUAGGAGGAACACCGAUGGCGUAAGCAGUCUACUGGCUCAUUCCUGACACUAAGGCACGAAAGCGUGGGGAGCAAACGGGAUUAGAUACCCUAGUAGUCC